rnacentral:rRNA from 1 species
CAAUAGCGUAUAUUAAAGUUGUUGCAGUUAAAAGCUCGUUGUUGGAUUUUAGAGUGGGCCAGUUGGUCCGCCGCAAGGUGUGUUACUGACUGGUUUGCUCUUCUUCGCAAAGACUGCGUGUGCUCUUAAGUGAGUGCGCGUAGGAUUUACGACUUUACUUUGAAAAAUUAGAGUGUUCAAAGCAGGCUAUUGCUUGAAUACAUGAGCAUGGAUUAAUGGAAUAGGACUUUGUUCCUAUUUUGUUUGUUUCUAGGGCCGAAGUAAUGAUUAAGAGGGACAAUUGGGGGCAUCCGUAUUUCGUUGUCAGAGGUGAAUUUCUUGGAUUUACGAAAGACGAACAACUGCAAAAGCACAAGAGUGUUUUCAUUAAUCAAGAACGAAAGUUAGAGGACCGAAGACGAUCAGAUACCA